rnacentral:pre_miRNA from 1 species
AUGUAGGGCAGUCUGUCUUAAGAAGAGAUAAACUACUCUAAAAGAAAUGAAUCCUAGAUAGUUUUCCCUUACGUUAAGCAUAUUGU